AGAUACGCCCCUUGGAUGCCUGCAGAGAAGCUCUGGGGCUUCAGUCAAUGACUCAGGGUAGCCACCGAACAUGAUGCUCGGGCAGUGGGUGCCACCUGGACUCCACUCUCCCCUCUCUCUGGGAUCAUAGAGUCCAAGGUGUUCUGUGGCCUCUCGGCCAAUCCCAGCAGCUCAGCGUGCAGAAGACCGAGGAGCCAUUGCAAGGACAGCAAAGCCUUCCAGACCUGCCUGUGACAUGCACUGCACAUUCUAAAGAUGCCUAUGCAAUGGAAAACACCACUGUCUGCUCCAGCACAGCUGCCAUUCUUCCAUCUUAUCGACCUUAAUGCAACAACUCCUCACAGGCAGAGAUUUUAAAAUGUGUUCUUGGCAGAAGAGAGACUCAAAGAUGGGACAAAUGUGUCAUUUAAAUGCCUGUUAAAAUGGAAACAGACAUAGUAUAGUCAGAGGAUUGUGGCAGCUAAGAACAUAGUCUCUGGAGCAAAUCUGCAUGGGUGGCAAUGCCAAGCACAUGAGGUCCUAGUUGUAUGAACUUAGGAAAAGAAAAAGAGAACAUAUAUCCCCCUACCUUUUGAUUUCCAACAGUCUACUGAGAGGCCAAGAUUAUUUGCAGGGAAAGAAAAGGGGUCAAAAUGUUUUGCCAGUAACUCCCAAAUCAUCUACAGCCAAGGAGAAAAGUGUUUCAAGACAGAGGUGCUCAAUGGUAUCAAAUACUGCCAACAGACCAAGUAAUACAUGCAUUGAAGUGUCUACUGGAUCUAGCUAUAUGAAUUUUUAAUUUAGGACACUUAGGCCAUACUGAAGCAAGGUGACAAAAUGAAUAGCUACAAUGUCUCGUGAAUCUUGGGUUUCCAUUCACCCUGGUAUUCAAGAGAAAUUCUUGCAUCAUGGAAGUUGCAGUUGGAUAGGACUUUCUCAGCUGAACACUGUCAUCUGCCAGAGCUUCAGGCAAGAACCCAGAACAGAUGAAACCCCAGACAUGACAAAAUAAGCCAAAGAAUACCAGGCCAAGGUGUGAAAGGCCAGAUGAGAACAAGCAGCGUACACGAUUCUGUUGCCAACAGAUCUCCCCUAACAGUGUCGUGCACCAAAUUUCCACAGUGAAUGUCAGGAAAAAAUGGCAAUUGAGGUGGGUGGUCAAAAGAGAAGCACAGUCUAUGAUGAAGUCACCCCAGAGAAGUCCUUUUUCCGUUUUCUCCUGAGAAAUUACCAGAAGAAAUUAAAAUCCUUUUGAGUAUUGCA
ensembl:lncRNA LINC00710 long intergenic non-protein coding RNA 710